UAGCCGUCUUUGGGCGUGACUGGUGGGGGGUCUCCUCCUCUUGCGGGAUGUAUGGCGCACGGAAUGACAGUCCUCUCGGGGACCCGACUUCGCGUGCGGCGGCCCAUCCUGUGGGGAACUCAGUGGGGGCAAUCGGAGAGUGAGUGAGAGUCGGUGGGCGUGCUCGUGGGGAGCCUCCGACUUCACACUCACUUCGCUAUACCAUGUGGUGUAGCGGCUUCCAGUGAACCAUUCGACCUCGCGUGCGGGGUGUCGAGGGGCGUGCCCCUCGCUACGAUAGUUACCUGG
rnacentral:misc_RNA from 1 species